UACGUAGGGUGCAAGCGUUGUCCGGAAUCAUUGGGCGUAAAGCGCGCGUAGGUGGUCAUGUAAGUCCGCUGUGAAAGUCAAAGGCUCAACCUUUGAAAGCCGGUGGAUACUGCAUGACUAGAGUACGGAAGAGGCGAGUGGAAUUCCUGGUGUAGCGGUGGAAUGCGCAGAUAUCAGGAGGAACACCGGUGGCGAAGGCGGGUCUCUGGGCAGUAACUGACGCUGAGGAGCGAAAGCGUGGGGAGCGAACAGG
rnacentral:rRNA from 1 species